CAGUCGCCGCGGUAAGACAGAGGAUGCAAGCGUUAUCCGGAAUGAUUGGGCGUAAAGUGUCUAUAGGUGGCUUUUCAAGUCCGCCGUCAAAUCCCAGGGCUCAACCGUGGACAGGCGGUGGAAACUACCAAGCUGGAGUACGGUAGGGGCAUAGGGAAUUUCCGAUGGAGCGGUGAAAUGCGUUGAGAUCGGAAAGAACACCAACGGAGAAAGCACUCUGCUGGGCCGACACUGACACUGAGAGACGAAAGCUAGGGGAGCAAAUGGGAUUAGAUACCCCCGUAGUCCCUGUCUCUUAUAC
rnacentral:rRNA from 1 species